GGAAGAAGUUAACUACAUGAUGCCCAGGCUGUAGCCAUGACACAAGCUGCCACAAUUCCAUGAACUGAGCUCAAAAAAAUAGAAACAAAUUGACCCUAGAAAUGAAGAUUAAUUGUACUUAAUUCAGAUGACACUGGUCAGAUCACUGCAUGAGCGAUUCAAGAUGACAGUCAGAUUGGACUGUCCUGUCUCUGCAUGCAGCCUCCUCCUUCCAAAGCUCUUGCCCACUGGUUGUCAGUCAGGAGGAGUCAGCCUUUAUAUAUGAAUCUACCCCUUCUGCAACCCUCGUUGUCAGAGCCCAAAAUAAAGCAAAUUUUCAACCAACCUUACAUCUUUAACAGCUCCUCUAAGCAUUGAGCAGCUGGAUCCAAUUUCAGCAGGUGUUAUGGUGCCAGUGUGGGGCUGCACUCUCGCGAGAUCUGGCUCCCUGAGUUUAUCUGAGUAGACCCACAGCUAUGACAGCGCCUAGCCGCCUUGGGCCCCCAGCUCGCGGCUACUGGCCCCAAGAGGCAGGGGUUUGGAGGACGUUUCUCACAGCUGCUGAAACCAUUUGCUUCGGGGAGCCUCCUAGUUUCCCCCCUGCUCAGCACCGGCCGCCAGCUAAUGCUUUCUCUUGGGGGAAUAGAAAGAAGCAUCUGGACAAGAGGACGAGGUCCCCAACCAAGACUUGACUGAAAGCUUCCAGAGUAAGCCAACGCAUGCCAACACUGUGACAUUUUCUACCUAAGUCAGCUCCGAAGUUGUGUAUGAUUGUCUCCUAUCUGAAGAGCAGGAAGCUAAGACUCAGGGUAUGAUGCAGAGCAUUGGUAGAAAUGAGUUUAUCCUACUUCAAGAUGAUUAUUCCUUCUUUUUCAUCUUUUUUAACUUUUUCAUUUCUAACUACAGAUGUAAGUACAUAAGCAUGAUGGGAAAGUUGGCAUAGACAUAAGUGCAUUUUGCAUUUCUUUCCAGGUUCACUCUUUUAUUACUACAUGCACACAAAAACAUGUAGCAUGACAUCAGGAUUAGUUGGUAUGUGUUCUCUACAAAGUGCAGAAUUCUCACCCUCAGCAGGAAAAACAACCCUAGGAAUUCCAAGUUUCCCGUAGUUGAUUGCUUAGACCAGAGCAACCUCAAAAUUACCUCAGACAGGCUCAUAUUUCACUGUGUUAAUUUUCAAAUAACCUAUUACAAUGAAUAAUACAAGCACUUAGAUGAAUUGAUAUUUUUAAAAUAUUUGUUUCAUUCAGAAAUAGUGCUAAGAUGUGAGAAACAUAAAAUUUAUCUAAAGUAAGAACAACACUGGCCACCUAGGGGGUGAGGUGGAGACAUAAGGUCAAAUAUUCAUGCACUCAUCUGUCAUUUAACAAGUAAGUCUGAGCACCUUAAGUGCCAGACCCUGGUUUCAGAAUCAAGGGUACAACAGUACAUCAAAUAGACAAAGCUCUUGCCCUCAGGAGGCUGCCUGCCCCUCUGGUAAGGGGAGACAGACAAUAAACAAACUGAGAAAAUGUCA
ensembl:lncRNA